UGGCGGACGGGUGAGUAAUGUCUGGGAAACUGCCUGAUGGAGGGGGAUAACUACUGGAAACGGUAGCUAAUACCGCAUAACGUCGCAAGACCAAAGAGGGGGACCUUCGGGCCUCUUGCCAUCGGAUGUGCCCAGAUGGGAUUAGCUAGUAGGUGGGGUAACGGCUCACCUAGGCGACGAUCCCUAGCUGGUCUGAGAGGAUGACCAGCCACACUGGAACUGAGACACGGUCCAGACUCCUACGGGAGGCAGCAGUGGGGAAUAUUGCACAAUGGGCGCAAGCCUGAUGCAGCCAUGCCGCGUGUAUGAAGAAGGCCUUCGGGUUGUAAAGUACUUUCAGCGGGGAGGAAGGGAGUAAAGUUAAUACCUUUGCUCAUUGACGUUACCCGCAGAAGGAGCACCGGCUAACUCCGUGCCAGCAGCCGCGGUAAUACGGAGGGUGCAAGCGUUAAUCGGAAUUACUGGGCGUAAAGCGCACGCAGGCGGUUUGUUAAGUCAGAUGUGAAAUCCCCGGGCUCAACCUGGGAACUGCAUCUGAUACUGGCAAGCUUGAGUCUCGUAGAGGGGGGUAGAAUUCCAGGUGUAGCGGUGAAAUGCGUAGAGAUCUGGAGGAAUACCGGUGGCGAAGGCGG
rnacentral:rRNA from 1 species